CGAAUGGAAGGGUUGGCGGUUGGAAUUCACCCAGUGGCUCCGUGGGAAAAAAGACCUGGUGAUCUGCUUCCGUGAAGAUUACAGCCUAGGAAACCCUAUGGGGCAGAUCUACUCUGUCACAUGGGGUCGCUAUGAGUCGGAAUCGACUGGAAGGCACCCAACAACAACAACUGCAAAGAAGACUUCCCUUUCCAUAAAAGUCCUGCUGCAGAAUGGGCACCCCACCCAAGGAGUGGGGCUGCCUCAAUCUGCCCCCACAUACCUGCGUAAAAGAACUUCUUCAGAUGGCAUAAACACUUCAGAAGAUUCUACAGCACCCUGUGCCUCUCCACGGCCCCCCUGUGAGGAUACAAGAUGUACAGCUGAGAAGUUACAGGAGAACGAUCCUAGCAAAUUUAGAUUUCUUGAACAGAUACCGAGCAACUUUAUGUGCUUGGCACGCUCUCAAUGCUUCCACAUCCAUGCUUUCACCUGAGCUGCUAAACACACCUGUGGGCCCGGUGUCACAUCCAUUUUUACAGAUACGGGAACUGAGACUCUGAGGGGUUUCCUGAGAUCAAAUACCUGUUAAGGGGUAGGGCCAGGUUUUCAAAGCAGGUCUUACUGGUUCCAAAUCCCGUACACCUUUGAAAAACAAGUCUGCCCCUCCACCAGGGUAGAGUUGGAAGUUUGUGUGGGUGCGGGGCAUGUUAAGGCAAACUUGCUUAAAAAAUGAAAUCUUACCUGGGCCCUUAACACAAUAGCAGAAAGAGCACUAGAUCAGCCAUCAGAAAUUCUUCUAGACCCAGCUCUGUCUUUAAUGAGCCAUAUAUCCCUGGGCAAAAUUUUUCCCUCUCUGAGUCUCAGUUUCCUUGACUAUAAAAUUGUGGUGGAAAGGCUGGAUGAAGUGGUCUCAAAGAACCACCCAUCUUCAAUGCUUCUCUAUACCUGCUUCACAGAUGCUGUGCUGUCCCUGAAUCACAAAACCCAAUCCUGGUACCUAAGUCAGAACCUUAAAAAGAGCAGCCCUAAUAAAACUCAGAUUGUCAAGCUAUGUGGACUCAAACCACAAAACUAUAUAUAUUUUUUUAGAGAUGUUAUAUAGAUACUGUCUUCCCUUCCUAGUUCCAUCCUGCUCAUUUUUUGUGGAAUUCUGUUUCUGAGAAUAACUUGGGCUUCUGUUGCACUUGAGCUUUUGGAGCCUUCUGCAGCAGGAAACAAGAGACAGGGAUGUUGAAAAGCUGUAGUGGGGUGUGGUAGCAGAAGGAGAGCUGAGGCACAAAGAAUUGGAAGGACUUGGGCAAACUGUGGGCCCAGAUAAAAAAGGGAAAAACCCCAAAACCUUUUGAAGAAACUGUAAGGAAUUGUUAGGGAGCUAAAAAAUUUAAAAGGAGGGACUGGAAUAAUGGGGCCCUGCAUGAUUUCAGCGAAUUAAAAAUGUGACUU